rnacentral:misc_RNA from 1 species
CGCUCACCUUAAAAACAUGUUACUUGAUCAUACCUAAAGAACUGGUUUGACUCGGCGUUAUAAGUUAUUUCGCUGAGGACACUCGCAAGGGUGGCCGUUUGGAAGGCGUGGUCUUGCCCUAUAGUGCGCCACACGUAGACGGGGCUACAAUUCAUUUGACAUCUGGCCUCAAAUCAGGUAGGACUACCCGCUGAACUUAA